GACGAACGCUGGCGGCGUGCUUAACACAUGCAAGUCGAACGAGUGGCGGACGGGUGAGUAAUGUCUGGGAAACUGCCUGAUGGCGGGGGAUAACUACUGGAAACGGUAGCUAAUACAGCAUACCAUCGGAUGUGCCCAGAUGGGAUUAGCUAGUAGGUGGGGUAAAGGCUAACCUAGGCGACGAUCCCUAGCUGGUCUGAGAGGAUGACCAGCCACAUUGGAACGGGUGCACGGGCCAGACUCCUACGGGAGGCAUCAGUGGGGAAUAUUGCACAAUUGGCGCAAGCCUGAUGCAGCCAUGCCGCGUGUAGUAAGAAGGCCUUCGGGUUGUAAAGUACUUUCAGCGGGGAGGCGUUACCCGAAGAAGAAGCACCGGCUAACUCCGUGCCAGCAGCCGCGGUAAUAC
rnacentral:rRNA from 1 species